UACGAGGGGGGCGAGCGUUGUUCGGAAUUAUUGGGCGUAAAGGGUGCGUAGGCGGCCUGACAAGUCUGAUGUGAAAUCCCUGGGCUCAACCCAGGGCCUGCAUCGGAAACUGUCGGGCUUGAGUAUGGGAGAGGUGAGUGGAAUUUCCGGUGUAGCGGUGAAAUGCGUAGAUAUCAGGAGGAACACCGAUGGCGAAGGCAGGUCUCUGGGCUGGACACUGACGCUCAUGCACGAAAGCGUGGGGAGCAAACAGG
rnacentral:rRNA from 1 species